rnacentral:rRNA from 1 species
GACGAACGCUGGCGGCGUGCUUAACACAUGCAAGUCGAACGCUGAAGCCUAGCUUGCUGGGUGGAUGAGUGGCGAACGGGUGAGUAACACGUGAGUAACCUGCCCUCUUCUUUGGGAUAACGCCCGGAAACGGGUGCUAAUACUGGAUAUUCACUGAUUCUCGCAUGGGGGUUGGUGGAAAGGUUUUUUCUGGUGGGGGAUGGGCUCGCGGCCUAUCAGCUUGUUGGUGGGGUGAUGGCCUACCAAGGCUUUGACGGGUAGCCGGCCUGAGAGGGUGACCGGUCACAUUGGGACUGAGAUACGGCCCAGACUCCUACGGGAGGCAGCAGUGGGGAAUAUUGCACAAUGGGCGAAAGCCUGAUGCAGCGACGCCGCGUGAGGGAUGGAGGCCUUCGGGUUGUAAACCUCUUUCGCUCAUGGUCAAGCCGCAACUUAGGGUUGUGGUGAGGGUAGUGGGUAAAGAAGCGCCGGCUAACUACGUGCCAGCAGCCGCGGUAAUACGUAGGGCGCGAGCGUUGUCCGGAAUUAUUGGGCGUAAAGGGCUUGUAGGCGGUUGGUCGCGUCUGCCGUGAAAUCCUCUGGCUUAACUGGGGGCGCGCGGUGGGUACGGGCUGACUUGAGUGCGGUAGGGGAGACUGGAACUCCUGGUGUAGCGGUGGAAUGCGCAGAUAUCAGGAAGAACACCGGUGGCGAAGGCGGGUCUCUGGGCCGUUACUGACGCUGAGGAGCGAAAGCGUGGGGAGCGAACAGG